UGAGAGCCGUUGGCUAGAAAUGGCAGAACCUUUGAUCUGUCUCCACACUAAACCAAUAGUCUAGGGGCUUUACAAAAUAGUUUAGUUUUAUCUAGAAUGCCCUCCUGACAUCUGGAGUAUUGAGAACAGUCUCCCUGCUGGAAUUAUAGUUUCAGAAAGAAAACUGAUAGAACAGGACAACUGUAGCCCAGCGAACCAUUGAGGAGCCACGCCUUGAGGCAGCAAAUGCUCAGAUUGGGAUGCAGCCUUCAACUGGUGCCCUGGGAGAGAAGUUGAGGAGUGAUUGGAAGAUUUGUCAAUGGAUAAAGAGCUGGGUGGAACUGAUCUGUGCCUGAUAAGAGGCAGAAAAGGACAGCAGGCAUUUCUGACCCGUGCUGAGAUCCAACAGGUGGAACCCAGCUGUUCAACCACUUGAGAACUGGGUCUCUGGGUUGCAACCCCCAUUGCCCAGAUGCACGAAUGUGACAGGCCCAACUGCAUUCUGCCCGUGCAAGAAACGUUCUUCCAGGAGCUUAUGAUCAACAGAUCACAUUUACAUUAUUGGACCUGGCAGCCACUCAGUGCAAGAACGCUGAGACUAGUCUAAUAGUUCAUACUCCUAACUUGCCAGGGGCAGUAGAGAAUCCCAUUGGGAAUGAUCCUGCAGUAAAACGUCAGUAGUAAGUAAGGAGGCACACACACCAUUUUGCAGCAUAGCUGUAAAGCCACUUCCCCAGGGCUUUUCUGCAUGAACAAAGAGCUUCAGAGGUCUCAGUGCAU